rnacentral:rRNA from 1 species
UAAAGAGCCGCGGUAUUUUGACCGUGCAAAGGUAGCAUAAUCAUUAGUCUCUUAAUUAGAGGCAUUGGAAUGAAUGGUUUGACGAGAAAUUAACUGUCUCUUAAUAAGUUUUAAAAUUUAACUUUUGAGUCAAAAGGCUUAAAUUUUUCUUUAGGACGAGAAGACCCUAUAGAGCUUGACAUUUUAAUUUUAUAUUUUUUAAAGAUAGUCUUUUUGUAUUUAAUGAUAAUGUUUUGUUGGGGUGACAUGAAGAAUAGAAAAACUCUUUAUUAUAAAAUCAUUAAUUUAUGUUUAUUUUGAUCCAUAAUUUAUGAUCAUAAGAUUAAGUUACCUUAGGGAUAACAGCGUAAUUGUUUUUGAGAGCUCAUAUUGACAAAGCAGAUUGCGACCUCGAUGUUGGAUUAACAAAAAUUCUGGGUGUAGU